rnacentral:rRNA from 1 species
UGGGGAAUUUUGGACAAUGGGCGAAAGCCUGAUCCAGCAAUGCCGCGUGUGUGAAGAAGGCCUUCGGGUUGUAAAGCACUUUUGUCCGGAAAGAAAUCCUUGGCUCUAAUACAGUCGGGGGAUGACGGUACCGGAAGAAUAAGCACCGGCUAACUACGUGCCAGCAGCCGCGGUAAUACGUAGGGUGCAAGCGUUAAUCGGAAUUACUGGGCGUAAAGCGUGCGCAGGCGGUUUGCUAAGACCGAUGUGAAGUCCCCGGGCUCAACCUGGGAACUGCAUUGGUGACUGGCAGGCUAGAGUAUGGCAGAGGGGGGUAGAAUUCCACGUGUAGCAGUGAAAUGCGUAGAGAUGUGGAGGAAUACCGAUGGCGAAGGCAGCCCCCUGGGCCAAUACUGACGCUCAUGCACGAAAGCGUGGGGAGCAAACAGGAUUAGAUACCCCUGGUAGUCCACGCCCUAAACGAUGUCAACUAGUUGUUGGGGAUUCAUUUCCUUAGUAACGUAGCUAACGCGUGAAGUUGACCGCCUGGGGAGUACGGUCGCAAGAUUAAACUUAAUGAAUUGACGGGGUCAUAGCUGUUUCCU